AUUGAACGCUGGCGGCAGGCCUAACACAUGCAAGUCGAGCGGAUGACGGGAGCUUGCUCCUUGAUUCAGCGGCGGACGGGUGAGUAAUGCCUAGGAAUCUGCCUGGUAGUGGGGGACAACGUUUCGAAAGGAACGCUAAUACCGCAUACGUCCUACGGGAGAAAGCAGGGGACCUUCGGGCCUUGCGCUAUCAGAUGAGCCUAGGUCGGAUUAGCUAGUUGGUGAGGUAAUGGCUCACCAAGGCGACGAUCCGUAACUGGUCUGAGAGGAUGGACAGUCACACUGGAACGGGGACACGGUCCAGACCCCUACGGGAGGCAGCAGUGGGGAAUAUUGGACAAUGGGCGAAAGCCUGAUCCAGCCAUGCCGCGUGUGUGAAGAAGGUCUUCGGAUUGUAAAGCACUUUAAGUUGGGAGGAAGGGCAGUAAGUUAAUACCUUGCUGUUUUGACGUUACCGACAGAAUAAGCACCGGCUAACUCUGUGCCAGCCGCCGCCGUAAGAC
rnacentral:rRNA from 1 species